GACGAACGCUGGCGGCGUGCUUAACACAUGCAAGUCGAACGGAAAGGCCUCUUUCGGGGGGUACUCGAGUGGCGAACGGGUGAGUAACACGUGAGUAACCUGCCCUUGACUUUGGGAUAACUUCAGGAAACUGGGGCUAAUACCGGAUAGGAGCUCCUGCUGCAUGGUGGGGGUUGGAAAGUUUCGGCGGUUGGGGAUGGACUCGCGGCUUAUCAGCUUGUUGGUGGGGUAGUGGCUUACCAAGGCUUUGACGGGUAGCCGGCCUGAGAGGGUGACCGGCCACAUUGGGACUGAGAUACGGCCCAGACUCCUACGGGAGGAAGAAGUGGGGAAUAUUGCACAAUGGGUGGAAGCCUGAUGCAGCAACGCCGUGUGCGGGAUGACGGCCUUCGGGUUGUAAAACGCUUUCGCUCAUGACGAAGCUUUGUGUGACGGUAGUGGGUAAAGAAGCACCGGCUAACUACGUG
rnacentral:rRNA from 1 species